GGCUGGUUAGCUCAGUCAGUUGAGCGUAGCGCUAACAACGCUAAGGUCGUGGGUUCGUUUCCCUCUCAGUCC
rnacentral:tRNA from 1 species